UGCGAGGAUGGGGCAGUGGUUAGCGCAUCUGCUUAGUGAGCAGAAGACCCAGGUUCGAAUCCUGGCCUUGUAA